rnacentral:rRNA from 1 species
GAGAGGACCGGAGUGGACGAACCUCUGGUGUUCGGGUUGUGUCGCCAGACGCAUUGCCCGGUAGCUAAGUUCGGAAUUGAUAAGCGCUGAAAGCAUCUAAGCGCGAAGCGAGCCCUGAGAUGAGUCUUCCCUGACAGUUUAACUGUCCUAAAGGGUUGUUCGAGACUAGAACGUUGAUAGGCAGGGUGUGUAAGCGUUGUGAGGCGUUGAGCUAACCUGUACUAAUUGCCCGUGAGGCUUAACCAUACAACACCCAAGGGGUUUUGUA